GAUGAACGCUAGCGGGAGGCCUAACACAUGCAAGCCGAGCGGUAUUGUUUCUUCGGAAAUGAGAGAGCGGCGUACGGGUGCGUAACACGUGUGCAACCUGCCUUUAUCUGGGGGAUAGCCUUUCGAAAGGAAGAUUAAUACUCCAUAAUAUAUUGAACGGCAUCGUUUAAUAUUGAAAGCUCCGGCGGAUAGAGAUGGGCACGCGCAAGAUUAGCUAGUUGGUGAGGUAACGGCUCACCAAGGCGAUGAUCUUUAGGGGGCCUGAGAGGGUGAUCCCCCACACUGGUACUGAGACACGGACCAGACUCCUACGGGAGGCAGCAGUGAGGAAUAUUGGUCAAUGGGUGCAAGCCUGAACCAGCCAUCCCGCGUGAAGGACGACUGCCCUAUGCGUUGUAAACUUCUUUUGUAUAGGGAUAAACCUACCCUCGAGAGGGUAGCUGAAGGUACUAUACGAAUAAGCACCGGCUAACUCCGUG
rnacentral:rRNA from 1 species